rnacentral:lncRNA from 1 species
AUGAUGGAAGGACAGAAAAAAAGAAUUAAAGGAAAGGCAGGAGGACAGGCAGCCCGCAUUCCUCCUCGCCCUCCUUUUCCAGGCCGGCCCCCAGACCCCCUCAGCCACACGGCGGAGCAGCGCGGAGCUGCGGGGCAUCCCGGGGUCGGCUCUGCCAUCCCGUGUGUCCGCACAUCACGGCUCUCCCGCAUCAGGCCGUGCCCUGCGCAGCCUCCGCAGAGCAGCGCUGCGGUGCGCGGCGCGCAGGGGCCCGGGGACAUGCGCACUCUCCGCGGACAUCGCUCGCUGCUUCUCCGCCGCCUCCCCCGGGCGAAGGAGGAGGAGAGAAGGAGGAGGGAGAGAGAGGAGAGAAGGAGGAGGGAGGGCAGAGCCGCGCGCCGCAACUUGCUGCCGCUCCUCCCUCGCCGCUGCCCGGCCCCUGCGGGCAGCGCUCGGCGGGCAGCGCUCGGCGGGAGGCGGCAGCCGGGGCGCGCCCCGCUGCGGGGCCGGCGCCUGCCGGUGAGUUGGGGGCGGUGCGCGAAGUUGCCGUGUCUGCGUGUGUCUGUAUAUAUAUGUCUGCGUGUGUCUGUAUAUAUAUGUCUGUGUGUAUCUGUAUAUAUAUGUCUGUGUGUGUGGCUGUGUGUGCGCGGGGUUGCGCGGCCGCGGGGCUCGGCUGGUGUCCGCUGGGCUCGGUUGGUGGCUGCGAGGCUGGGAGCGCACCGCGGGCUGCCCCGGUCCUGCCGUGCUCCCGUCCGGCCGUCACCCGGCGGCCAUUUGGACCGGGGUCAGUCCGGCGGCGGCCGCAGGUGCAGCGCGGUGCGGGCUGCGCUGCGGCUCGGCGGGCUGGGGCUGGGGCUGGGGCUGGGGCUGCGGCUGCUGCUUCCAUUCCCAUCCCGGUACGUGCAGUUUGUUGUGCGGCGGCAUCUGCUCCUCGUCUUGGGAACUCUUGGAGAAGAUGCGAUCGGCACGGGAGGGCAGGGGCCGCCGUUCAGAGCGCGGCAGAGUGAUGCGAGCGGCAGCGGGUCCGAGCGCAUCGCCCUGGCUGCCGCUUGGAGCAUCUCCUUCCCAUAA